UACAGAGGUCUCAAGCGUUGUUCAGAUUCAUUGGGCGUAAAGGGUGCGUAGGUGGCGCCGUAAGUCAGGUGUGAAAGCCUUGAGCUCAACUCAAGAAAUGCACUUGAUACUGGGCGACUAGAGGACCGGAGAGGAUAGUGGAAUUCCCAGUGUAGUGGUGAAAUACGUAGAGAUUGGGAAGAACACCAGUGGCGAAGGCGGCUAUCUGGACGGUUUCUGACGCUAAGACGCGAAAGCGUGGGGAGCAAACAGG
rnacentral:rRNA from 1 species